rnacentral:rRNA from 1 species
AUGCUGCUCGACAUCGUCAUGGCCGGCGCGGCCGGGGCGAUGGUGCUGGAGGUUGGUGGUGCGGAGGAGGCGGUGACUGACCUGACGAAGGGUGCACAGGUUCGCGGAUUUCCCAGCGAUUUGGUGCGUGCCGAUCUUCCAAGCCAUUCUGACCGAGGAGGGGACCGGGCGUUCGAGCAGCUGUUCUUGCUCCGGCCACCAGUUGAUGAAGAGCGACAGAUUUCCCAUCCAAUGAGUGUUGAGAGAUCUCAUGGAGGAUGGAGUACCGGUUCAUGGAUUUACUGGACAAAAUUGUUCUACUGGGUCAAGCUGUUGGUGCUAGGGCAUCAAUGCCAAGGUGGCAUAGGACAGAAAAUAAUUGUUGACCAAGGCAAGCUAAUGGAGAAUGACUGGAUCCUGAGGCACAGUACAGAUGGUGGACUACUGCUAUGGUCUAUUAGAGGUGUGGGGGUAACAGAGGCAGAUUCAUAUGAGGAGAUAGCGAAAUAA